GACGAACGCUGGCGGCGUGCCUAAUACAUGCAAGUAGGACGCAGUUGCGAACGGGUGAGUAACGCGUAGGUAAAUGACUAUUAGAGGGGGAUAACUAUUGGAAACGAUAGCUAAUACCGCAUACUAGUAGAUGGACCUGCGUUGUAUUAGCUAGUAGGUAGGGUAAUGGCCUACCUAGGCGACGAUACAUAGCCGACCUGAGGGGGUGGUCGGGCAAACUGGGACUGGGGAACGGCCCCGACUCCUGCGGGAGGCAACAAGAGGGAAACUUCGGGAAUGGGGGGAAACCUGGCCGGGCAACGCCGCGGGGGUGAAGGAAGUUUUCGGGUCGUAAAGCUCUGUUGUUAAGGGAGCGGUACUUAACCAGAAAGCGACGGCUAACUACGUGCCAGCAGCCGCGGUAAUUC
rnacentral:rRNA from 1 species